CCUACGGGAGGCAGCAGUGAGGAAUAUUGGUCAAUGGACGAGAGUCUGAACCAGCCAAGUAGCGUGAAGGAUGACUGCCCUAUGGGUGGUAAACUUCUUUUAUAAGGGAAUAAAAUGAGGCACGUGUGGGAUUUUGUAUGUACCAUAUGAAUAAGGAUCGGCUAACUCCGUGCCAGCAGCCGCGGUAAGACGGAGGAUCCGAGCGUUAUCCGGAGUUAUUGGGUUUAAAGGGAGCGUAGGUGGUUUGUUAAGUCAGUUUGGCAAGUUUGCGGCUCAACCGUAAAAUUGCAGUUGAUACUGGCAGUCUUGAUUCCAGUUGAGGUCGGCGGAAUUCGUGGUGUAGCGG
rnacentral:rRNA from 1 species